rnacentral:lncRNA from 1 species
GUGAAAAAUGCUUCUAUUUAAACUAAUAUACUUGCAGAAUUUACAUAUGCACCUUGUUAUAGGCUGAACUGUGCCCUCCCUAAAUUCUGAUGCUGAAGCCCUAAUAUCCAAGGUGACAGUAUUUGGAUAUGGGGCCUUUAAGGAGGUAAUAAAGGGUAAAUGAGGUCAUAAAGGUGGGAUUCUGAUCCAAUAGAACUGGUGUCCUUAUAAGAAGAGGAAGAGAUACCAAGCGUGUGUGUUCACAGAGGAAAGGCCAUGUGAGGACAAAGUGAGAAAGAGGCUGUCUGUAAGCCAGGAAGAAAUUUCUCACCAGAAACCAACCCUGCUGGCACCUUGAUCAGGGACUUCCCAGCCUCCAGAACUGUGAGAAAAUAAAUUUCUGUUGUUUAAGCUAGCUGGUCUGUGGUGCUUUAUGACAGCAGCCCUGCCCGACUUAAACAGACCUCAAGCAGUAAUAGACAGAACUGGAAUGUAGAAAAUUGAAAGAGUAAUGUGAAAGAAUAAUUUCAGAAUCUGUUUUUCGAAUGUGGAGGAAAGUAGAAACUGAUCUAAAGAAGCGAGUGGGAAGAUCUAAGUCGUGGGAGAGAGAGAAAGAGAGAAUGGUGAUCCAACGUUGAUAGUGACAUUGAUUGCAGCUGAGAAAUUAUUUGAAGUCAACCAGAUGGCUGAGGAUGAGACCUGCUACCUAGCAGAGAGGGGUUCUUCCCACACCGCCUGCCGGAAAUCACAAUCCACAAAACCGAGCCAUCAGGAAUGAUGGAGACAAUGGUUGCAACAGGUUUUUCCCUGAAUUCUCUGGCCCCAGUGUUUUGCAAGGACAAUGUUUGGCCCUGGGAGCAGCAAUAUCCACAGAAAAAGGAACCUCUGCAACAGACAAGACAUUCUAGUUUUCUUUCCAUAAUUGAGACUGACCUCGUGAAAUGACUUAGUGGAGCUGGAGUUCUUGCAACUAAUCACAGGGAGCGGAUAAAUACGUUCUCAUGAUGAGGGAAAAGCAGGCAUACAUUUCUAGGAAUGAUAUAGAGAUGCUGAAAAUACAAAUUGAAAGAGAUUCCUCACUAUUUUGUUCGACUCUGACCCAUGAGCAAGAAUUUAGUGCUUUCACAAAGGAACUGAGGGAAUUUCUAAUGCUGUCAGAUGACAAAAUUAACAACUGGGUGCUUGGGUAGGAGCUUGGAGUUGCCAAUGGCUUGCCCGACUGCUUCAGAGUGAUGCGUUUUUUUCCUGCUCUAUGUAGUUAGCUUCUGCUGUUGCUAUUGUAUCAUUUGCCUACAAUUAAUAAAUACACUUAUUUUGCA